AAUAUUGUUUCCUCACUACAGGGAACCAAUGCUCUCUAUUAGCAGAGCCAAGCAAAAUUUCUGAAAAUUGUUAUUGUAAUGUUUACAUAAUGAGAUCAUAUUUUUUCCCUUAUGAAGUACAGGUGCAAAAUCUAAACACUCUGGUCCCAGAAGUACAACUUUCCAGCCAUUUCUUUCUGAAGUAGUCCUUGUGAACUUAACCAGCUAGCUAUUAAUGGGCUAUUUACAACCCUGCUAAAUCUUCUCUUUUUGCCUCUUACAAUCCUAUCAGUGCAAAAAAUCUCCAGCAACUCCAAACCUUUCUACACUUUAUUUAUCUUUUUCUCAUAUUCUAUUUUUCAAGAGGCAGUCAACCUACAGAAGAGCAUCUGCUGGACCCUGAGUGGGGAACAGACAGGCGGAACCCUUGCAAAUGUAAAAGCCAGGAGUGGGUCUGGCCCCAGAUGAAGAAAUUACCUGGUCUGGAGGACAAACAACCCACAGCCAGAUUUCCCUGCCAAAGCCUGCCUCAGGCUGUCCCCAGCACUUGCAGAUCUGCAGAUGUCUCUGAGAAAUGUUCAGGUAAAAUUAAAACAGCUUUCAGAGGCUAAAGAGGUAGUGAGGCUGGAAGACUGCUUGGUCUUCGAGGUGCACGCUGGUCCCUCUCCAAAGGGAAGCAUUAUCCACCA